rnacentral:rRNA from 1 species
GACGAACGAGGGAGGAGGGCAGAAUACAUGCAAGUCGAACGCUUCUUUCCUCCCGAGUGCUUGCACUCAAUUGGAAAGAGGAGUGGCGGACGGGUGAGUAACACGUGGGUAACCUACCCAUCAGAGGGGGAUAACACUUGGAAACAGGUGCUAAUACCGCAUAACAGUUUAUGCCGCAUGGCAUAAGAGUGAAAGGCGCUUUCGGGUGUCGCUGAUGGAUGGACCCGCGGUGCAUUAGCUAGUUGGUGAGGUAACGGCUCACCAAGGCCACGAUGCAUAGCCGACCUGAGAGGGUGAUCGGCCACACUGGGACUGAGACACGGCCCAGACUCCUACGGGAGGCAGCAGUAGGGAAUCUUCGGCAAUGGACGAAAGUCUGACCGAGCAACGCCGCGUGAGUGAAGAAGGUUUUCGGAUCGUAAAACUCUGUUGUUAGAGAAGAACAAGGACGUUAGUAACUGAACGUCCCCUGACGGUAUCUAACCAGAAAGCCACGGCUAACUACGUG